rnacentral:rRNA from 1 species
CACGUAGGCGGUCAUUUAAGUCGGAUGUGAAAUCCCCGGGCUCAACCUGGGAACUGCAUACGAUACUGGAUGGCUAGAGUAUGGCAGAGGGGAGUGGAAUUCCAGGUGUAGCGGUGAAAUGCGUAGAUAUCUGGAGGAACAUCAGUGGCGAAGGCGACUCCCUGGGUUAAUACUGACGCUGAGGUGCGAAAGCGUGGGGAGCAAACA